GAUGAACGCUGGCGGCGUGCCUAAUACAUGCAAGUCGAACGCUGGAAAUCUAGCUUGCUAGAUUGAAGGAGUGGCGAACGGGUGAGCAAUACAUAAGCAACCUACCCACGAAGACUGGGAUAAUCUCUGGAAACGGGGACUAAUACCGGAUAGGUAAUCGGAAGGCAUCUUCUGAUUAUUAAAGGUUAAAAACACUGGUGGAUGGGCUUAUGGCGCAUUAGUUAGUUGGUGAGGUAACGGCCCACCAAGACGAUGAUGCGUAGCCGGCCUGAGAGGGUGAACGGCCACAUUGGGACUGAGACACGGCCCAGACUCCUACGGGAGGCAGCAGUAGGGAAUUUUCGGCAAUGGGGGAAACCCUGACCGAGCAACGCCGCGUGAGUGAUGACGGCCUUCGGGUUGUAAAGCUCUGUUGUAAGGGAAGAACGGUAGAUAGAGAAUAUCUAAAUGACGGUACCUUACCAGAAAGCCACGGCUAACUACGUG
rnacentral:rRNA from 1 species